rnacentral:rRNA from 1 species
AGUUCGAUCUGGCUCAGAUUGAACGCUGGUGGAUGCUUUGUUAUGGCAAGUCGAACGGCAGCACGGACUGGUCUGGUGGCGAGUGGCGAACGGUGAGUAAUGUAUCGGAACGUGCCUAGUAGCGGGGGAUAACUACGCGAAAGCGUAGCUACGACGCGCAUACAGCCUUCGGGGGGAAAGUGGGGUAAGCUUCGGGCCUCGCACUAUUAGAGCGGCCGAUAUCGGAUUAGCUAGUUGGUGGGGUAACGGCUCACCAAGGCGACGAUCCGUAGCUGGUUUGAGAGGACGACCAGCCACACUGGGACUGAGACACGGCCCAGACUCCUACGGGAGGCAGCAGUGGGGAAUUUUUGACAAUGGGGGAAACCCUGAUCCAGCCAUCCUGGCGCGUGUGCGAUGAAGGGCCUUCUGGGUUGUAAAGAAUUUUUGGCAGGAAAGGAACGGCACGGGAUAAUACCCCGUGCAACUGACGGUACCUGCAGAAUAAGCACCGGCUAACCACAGCCAGCAGCCGCAGUAAUACGUAGGGUGCAAGCGUGUUAAUCGGAAUUACUGGGCGCAAGUGCGCAGGCGGUUCGUUAAAGAUGUAAAAUCCCAGAGCUUAACUUUGAACUGCAUUUUUAACUACCGAGUUUCAGAGUGUGUCAGAGGGAGGUGGAAUUCCGCGUGUAGCAGUGAAAUGCGUAGAUAUGCGGGAGAGGAACACCGAUGGCGAAGGCAGCCUCCUGGGAUAACACUGAUGCUCAUGCACGAAGCGGGGAGCAAACAGGAUUAGAUACUCCCGGUAGUCCACGCCCUAAACGACAGUCAACUAGCUGUUGGGGCCUUCUUCGCCUUGGUAGCGCAGCUAACGCGCUUGACCGCCUGGGGAGUACGGUCGCAAGAUUAAAACUCAAAGGGAAUUGACGGGGACCCGCACAAGCGGUGGAUGAUGUGGAUUAAUUUGAUGCAACGCGAAAACCUUACCUACCCUUGACAUGUCUGGAAUCCCGAAGAGAUCGGGAGUGCUCGCAGGAGAACCGGAACACAGGUGCUGCAUGGCUGUCGCCGCCUGUGCCGUGAGAUGCCGGGUUAAGUCCCGCAACGAGCGCAACCCUUGUCAUUAGUUACGAAAGGGCACUCUAAUGAGACGCCGGUGACAAACCGGAGGAAGGUGGGGAUGACGUCAAGUCCUCAUGGCCCUCUUAUGGGUAGGGCUUCACACGUCAUACAAUGGUCGGGACAGAGGGUCGCCAACCCGCGAGGGGGAGCCAAUCCCAGAAACCCGAUCGUAGUCCGGAUCGCAGUCUGCAACUCGACUGCGUGAAGUCGGAAUCGCUAGUAAUCGCGGAUCAGCAUGUCGCGGUGAAUACGUUCUGGUCUUGUACACACCGCCCGUCACACCAUGGGAGUGGGUUUUACCAGAAGUAGUUAGCCUAACCGUAAGGAGGGCGAUUACCACGGUAGGAUUCAUGACUGGGGUGAAGUCGUAACAAGGUAA